GUCAAUAAUCAAUUCACAGAAUGUGUCACAAACAAAUAUCUAAAUCCAACUUAAUCUCAGAAGCUAAGCAGGGUCGGGCCUGGUUAGUACUUUGAUGGGAGACCACCUAGAAAGACCAAGUGCUAUAGGCA
rnacentral:rRNA from 1 species